GGAGAGGUGCCAGAGAGGCCGAAUGGAGCGCACUGCUAAUGCGUUGACCCCUUUACCGGGGUCCCAGGGUUCGAAUCCCUGCCUCUCCGCCA
rnacentral:tRNA from 2 species